CUUCAGAGAGACAGGUCCUAACACUGGCCCCUCAGAGAGACAGGCCCUAACACUGGCCCCUCAGAGAGACAGGUCCUAACCCAGGCCCUAACACUGGCCCCAACCAUUUCUAAACCAUGGGCAUGUUCAGGAGGAUAUAAAGUUACAGAACAUUCA
rnacentral:lncRNA from 1 species